GACGAACGCUGGCGGCGUGCCUAAUACAUGCAAGUAGAACGCUGAAGGAGGAGCUUGCUCUUCUGGAUGAGUUGCGAACGGGUGGGUAACGCGUAGGUAACCUGCCUGGUAGCGGGGGAUAACUAUUGGAAACGAUAGCUAAUACCGCAUAACAGUAGAUGUUGCAUGACAUUUACUUAAAAGGUGCAAUUGCAUCACUACCAGAUGGACCUGCGUUGUAUUAGCUAGUUGGUGGGGUAACGGCUCACCAAGGCGACGAUACAUAGCCGACCUGAGAGGGGGAUCGGCCACACUGGGACUGAGACACGGCCCAGACUCCUACGGGAGGCAGCAGUAGGGAAUCUUCGGCAAUGGAAGGAAGUCUGACCGAGCAACGCCGCGUGAGUGAAGAAGGUUUUCGGAUCGUAAAGCUCGGUUGUAAGAGAAGAACGAGUGUGAGAGUGGAAAGUUCACACUGUGACGGUAUCUUACCAGAAAGGGACGGCUAACUACGUG
rnacentral:rRNA from 1 species